rnacentral:tRNA from 1 species
GGGGUUGUAGCUUAGUGGUAGAGUGCUCAUCUAGCAUGUGUGAGGUGCUGGGUUUGAACCUCAGCACCACA